GACGAACGCUGGCGGCGUGCCUAAUACAUGCAAGUAGAACGCAGUUGCGAACGGGUGAGUAACGCGUAGGUAACUGCCUGGUUGCGGGGGAUAACUAUUGGAAACGAUAGCUAAUACCGCAUACUACCAGUUGGACCUGCGUGGUAUUAGUUAGUUGGUGGGGUAACGGCUCACCAAGGCAACGAUACAUAGCCGCCCUGAGAGGGUGAUUGGACACACUGGGACUGAGACAAGGCCCAGACUCCUAAGGGAGGCAGCAGUAGGGAAUCUUCGGGAAUGGGCGGAAGUCUGAACGAGCAAAGCCGCGUGAGUGAAGAAGGUUGUCGGAUCGUAAAGAUCUGUUGUAAGAGAAGCGGUAUCUUACCAGAAAGGGACGGCUAACUACGUGCCAGCAGCCGCGGUAAUAC
rnacentral:rRNA from 1 species